UACGUAGGUGGCAAGCGUUGUCCGGAAUUAUUGGGCGUAAAGCGCGCGCAGGCGGUCCUUUAAGUCUGAUGUGAAAGCCCACGGCUCAACCGUGGAGGGUCAUUGGAAACUGGGGGAAUUGAGUACAGAAGAGAAGAGUGGAAUUCCACGUGUAGCGGUGAAAUGCGUAGAGAUGUGGAGGAACACCAGUGGCGAAGGCGACUCUUUGGUCUGUAACUGACGCUGAGGCGCGAAAGCGUGGGGAGCAAACAGG
rnacentral:rRNA from 1 species